ensembl:misc_RNA Metazoa_SRP Metazoan signal recognition particle RNA
GCUGGGCAUGGUGACUUAUGCCUGUAAUCCCAGCUUUUUGGGAGGCUGAGGUGUGAGGAUCACUUGAGCCCAGGAGUUCAGCCUGGGCAACAUAGUGAGACCUUAUCUCUA